rnacentral:piRNA from 1 species
UUUUCUUCAACUGUGGAUUAA